rnacentral:ncRNA from 2 species
CUAAAUAUAGUAUGUUUAGGUGCUUUUAAAAGAAGUGAAAAGGGAAUGUGGUUAAAAUCCACAGCAGCCCCCGCUACUGUAAAUGAGGACGAACCUUAAUAGCCACUCGUAAGAGGAAGGUGAGGUGUAGAGUGAUUCAUGAGCCAGGAGACCUGCCUAAAUUUCAAAACAAUC